GCUCCUGUAGCCCAAUUAGCAGAGGCAACGAACUUAAAAUCCGCAGAGUGUCAGUGCAAAUCUGACCGGGAGCA
rnacentral:tRNA from 1 species